UGCUUUGACUCCUGGGAACACCCUACGUAAAUAGUCACACAUCACUCAUUCACUCAUCUUCAAACACUUAUCCAGGAUCGGGUCGCACGUGCAACAGCUCCAGCAGGGGACCCCAGACUUCCCUUUCAUGGGCCACAAUGAUCACCUCUGACUGGGCGAUCCUGAGGCAUUCCCAGGCCACUGUGGAGAUAUAAACUCUCCACCUAGCCACAGGAGUUAGUGUUA